UACGUAGGUGGCUAGCGUUAUCCGGAUUUACUGGGCGUAAAGAGCGCGCAGGCGGUCGUUCAAGUCGAGUGUGAAAGCCCCCGGCUCAACUGGGGAGGGUCACUCGAUACUGAUCGACUUGAAGGCGGGAGAGGGAAGCGGAAUUCCAGGUGUAGCGGUGAAAUGCGUAGAUAUCUGGAGGAACACCGGUGGCGAAGGCGGCAUCCUGGACCAACACUGACGCUGAUGAGCGAAAGCCAGGGGAGCAAACGGG
rnacentral:rRNA from 1 species